CUGGAAUGCUUCCUCGCUUAAAGCUCCGGCGCUCGAGGAUGGAACUACGGCCUAUCAGGUAGUUGGUGGUGUGACGGACCACCAAGCCUACGACGGCUACGGGCGAUGGGAGUCGGAGCCCGGAGAUGGGGACUGAGACAAGGCCCCAGGCCCUACGGGGCGCAGCAGGCGCGAAAACUCCGCAAUGCGCGCAAGCGUGACGGGGGAACCCCAAGUGCCGUUGGUCUUUUGAUCGACGGCUUUUCGGAAGUUCAAUACGCUUCCGGGAUAAGGGCUGGGUAAGGCUGGUGCCAGCAGCCGCGGUAA
rnacentral:rRNA from 1 species